rnacentral:lncRNA from 1 species
AUACAUUUAAUGAUAUGACACUGAGGUAGAUUUUGAUUUAACACAUAAUAUAUUUUAUCAAAAUAUACAUUUACCUAUAAAAAAGGGGAGAUCGAAAGAAAGGGGAGAUCGAGGAGCCCCUUUGCUAAUUGUAAUCAUGUGUGAGUUUUUGGAGAACAUAUCUUCGAGCUUCCUUCAGACGGAAUCAAUAUUGGAUAGGUUUGUGUUGGAUUAUCCGCCAAGUUUAUGUUGGCAUAGUUGAUGAGCAUCGCAAUCGAGAAAGUCAUGUUGUGAUGGAUUUCACCGGUUAUAGACAUAAGAUUGGGAGUCCUCACGAGACCUCUUCUUCCUUGUGGACGACAUUAGCUAGUGUAUUGUUACAUUGUCGAGGGCACUCUGGUUUUCUUCGCUUAGGAAUUCAGCUUCCCUUUCUAGACGAGCAGCUCGAUGGCAUCCUUGAGAUGGAUGCAAUCAUCGAUGUUGUGGUUAUGGAAUCUAUAAUACUUGUUGUUGUUGACUCCUUGUAUAGGUGGGACCUAUCAGGGAAACUAGAUUCCUCCUUCCUUUAAUUAAACGUUGUGCAUUCGACCAAAAUGGUCUCCUUAGAGCAUUAAAGGGAGUGUUUGUUGGGUAUCGACUGAAG